GACAGCCAAACAGGUUUGGAACAAGUGAAUGAGUUCUCUACAGUCAACUGACAACUACAUAACACUUACACAUUCUGUCCCUCAAAAAUAAGGUUCUUGCAGCUUAAAAAAAAUGUACCUGAUAGUGGAGUUCAUUCACGAAGGGAGUACCGGACCUGUCGCCAAGUCUUGGUACUCAGAGGGUCACUCGUGGUGGCCUCCAUACAAGAAGAUAGACAGGGUAUUGAGGAGUGUCCGGUUGAUGGAGGCACCACAACCAGAUAAAGGUUGGACCAAGCAUCAGGCCAGAAUUCUACACGAGUCAGCAUCUUUUGACAAGAUUUCAAAGAAAUGGAAACAGGCAUGCUACACAUCUGACAUCUCGGAAUCUGAAAUGCCUGC